CAGUAGCCGCGGGAAUACGAAGGGGGCUAGCGUUGCUCGGAAUGACUGGGCGUAAAGGGCGCGUAGGCGGAUUGUUUAGUUAGGCGUGAAAUUCCUGGGCUUAACCUGGGGACUGCGCUUAAUACAGGCAGUCUAGAGUGAGGAAGAGGGUUGUGGAAUUCCCAGUGUAGAGGUGAAAUUCGUAGAUAUUGGGAAGAACACCGGUGGCGAAGGCGGCAACCUGGUCCUUGACUGACGCUGAGGCGCGAAAGCGUGGGGAGCAAACAGGAUUAGAGACCCCCGUAGUCCCUGUCUCUUAUAA
rnacentral:rRNA from 1 species